UACGAAGGGGGCUAGCGUUGCUCGGAAUCACUGGGCGUAAAGGGUGCGUAGGCGGGUCUUUAAGUCAGGGGUGAAAUCCUGGAGCUCAACUCCAGAACUGCCUUUGAUACUGAGGAUCUUGAGUUCGGGAGAGGUGAGUGGAACUGCGAGUGUAGAGGUGAAAUUCGUAGAUAUUCGCAAGAACACCAGUGGCGAAGGCGGCUCACUGGCCCGAUACUGACGCUGAGGCACGAAAGCGUGGGGAGCAACAGGAGUU
rnacentral:rRNA from 1 species